rnacentral:lncRNA from 1 species
UCAGCCCCUUCAAGGGGUGCCUGGUCAUGACAGAAGGGAAGGAAGGCCCCAUGAAAGCCUGUAAGUUGCCAAUACUGCAGUGACUACCUCCUCCUUAUCUCUCUUUCUGGAGAUUCCCCAAAGACAGUGUUCAUUCACUAAAUACUUACUGAGUAAAUACUAUAUUCUAGACACUUUUCUAAGCACUUGGGUAUAUAGCAGAAAGCCAGGAUGCUAAAUUAGCAAGGCCGGGCACUAAAUCAAGAAGGGACAUAGGCUGGGAUAGGCAUUUGGAGCCAAGCCCAAGGGGUCAAUGAACAAAAACCAGGCACACACAACUUCUUCCCUUCCUCUAGAGGGCAGGGCCUGGGAAUCAGAGGGCCUGGAGUCCUUAUACUGCUUCUGUGGCUAGUUUUCUGAGUGCCCUUAGAUAAGCCUAGUAUGUGCCCCAAGGGUCAGUUUCUUCAUAUGCAAAAUGGAAAAAAAAACAUAGCUGUAGGCACCUUAUUACAAUUUCUAUGAGGUUAUCUGCAUAAUUCAGAGCCAGGGUUUCAUGCUACAGGUGGACAUUGAUUAGCACAAUGGACACAUUCUAGAAAUGGUUAUAUGCCAGUGAACUCCUACAGAAUAAAGAGCCAUCAGUGUUCAUUGUUUAAAACCGUGUGAAUGUUUUGGUAAACCUGAACACCACCUUCUAAUUUGUUUGACUUUUCCUGCAGUGUCCAGCUGUGCUUGGCACUGGACCAAAUGGGGUGAAACCCACUAGAAUUCUACAGGUGUGUUCAGUUUACCUGACACAAGGUCAUCAAGGGAACAAAUGAAGGGCUGGAAACACAGGAGGGGAAAAGAGAAUUUUAAGAUAUUUAGACGCAGAGGGAGAAAUAUGCAGAAGCUAUACUGAGAUAAAAUCUGAGCUUUCUUUGAAGAAGAAUACAACACAAUCGACCCUCAAACUCAGCCCCCUUGGCCCUCAGAUGAAGCACCGGCUAGGCAAGAGGGAAGGAGUGACAGGAAGUCUGUGAGAGCAGGAGGAGCACAGAGCAGGGACAGGUGGUGAGGGAGGGAGUGAUGGAAGAAGGUGGUGGCGGAUUCAGGCCUGCUUCCUUCUUUUCUCUUCCCUCCCUACCUCUUCCUCCAUGAGAGAGAGAGAAAGGGAACUCCAGAUCCAGGCUGGACCCUGGAUGAAAGACAGCCACUUAAUUCUCUGAACCACGUCCUUGUGCCCUGCAGGGCUGCUUCUGGCCUGGCAGCCUGUGGCCCCGCACUCCCCUUCCCCCUGCCUUCAAGCUGAGACUCAGAAGGAUAGUCACCUUGGAAAUCACACUAUCAGAGCCACCAGGCGGAAAUAAGUGACCCAGAGAAAAACGCUAUGAAGUAGUGAAGGAGUUGCAGGAGGCGGCAGCGAGGGUCCUUGGGAGUCACUCAGAGGCAUGUGGAAGAUUCACGCGGGUUAAAGCUGAGCUGAUUAUGGAAUGAAAACUCACUGUGUCCUCUCUCCUCUCUCCUGGUCUGCAGCAUUACUUAGGAAUAAUGUGGCCUCAACUUCCUUCUCUUUCUUUAUUAUUUUUUUCUUUUUUGAGAUGGAGUUUCGCUCUUGUUGCCCAGGCUGGAGU